CUAAGGCAACAGAUUUUCUUUUCCAUUUUGCUACGGUUAAAUUUAGCAUUCACACUUAAAAGGUUACGGUACAAACUACAAAUAAUGCCUCUUCCAAAAUUUCUCAAAAUUUCCAUCAGUGAAGCAGUACAUGCAAUUACGGGUCCUCUCCGACCCCCUCUCAAAAAAACAAAAUAAAAUCGGUUAAAAACCAAAAUUUACACCGUGCAGUGUAGGAAUUUGCUUGCGCCACAAAUGUGUGCACCGCGUAUAUCUUUUGUUAUACUUUC
rnacentral:lncRNA from 1 species